GGGCCCGCACAAGCGGUGGAGCAUGUGGUUUAAUUCGAUGAUACGCGAGGAACCUUACCAGGGCUUAAAUGGGAAAUGACAGGGGCAGAGACGCCCCCUUCUUCGGACAUUUUUCAAGGUGCUGCAUGGUUGUCGUCAGCUCGUGCCGUGAGGUGUCAGGUUAAGUCCUAUAACGAGCGCAACCCCUACCGUUAGUUGCCAGCGUGUAAUGACGGGGACUCUAACGGAACUGCCGGUGCAAACCGUGAGGAAGGUGGGGACGACGUCAAAUCAUCACGGCCCUUACGUCCUGGGCCACACACGUGCUACAAUGGUAGGUACAGAGGGAAGCCACCCGCGAGGGGAGCGGAUCCCAAAAAGUGCGUCGUAGUCCGGAUCGGAGUCUGCAACUCGACUCCGUGAAGUCGGAAUCGCUAGUAAUCG
rnacentral:rRNA from 1 species